GAGGGUGGGCCCCUCGGAGCCGCUGUACAGGCGGAGGCUUCAAACCACCUUAAUCUGCUGCGGAUCUGAGGG
rfam:Paenibacillus sp. Soil522 contig_21, whole genome shotgun sequence.